UACGGGGGGACGAGCGUUGUUCGGAUUUACUGGGCGUAAAGGGCGCGUAGGCGGGCUUUCAAGUCGGAUGUGAAAACCCCGGGCUUAACUCGGGGCCUGCAUUCGAAACUGGAAGUCUUGAGUACAGGAGAGGAAAGUGGAAUUCCAGGUGUAGCGGUGAAAUGCGUAGAUAUCUGGAAGAACACCAGUAGCGAAGGCGGCUUUCUGGACUGAUACUGACGCUAAAGCGCGAAGGCUUGGGGAGCAAACAGGAUUAGAUACCCUUGUA
rnacentral:rRNA from 1 species